UGGGCGUGAACUCGUGUUCAUUCAGUAGGCUGUCAGUAAAGCACGAGGAAGGACGCAUAUCGAAGCAGCGAGGAAGGACACAAAGCAGAAAGGCUGAUGAGUCUGUGAUUGGUGAUCUGCACCUUCUUUGCAACCCAAGUUUGUUCUGAUGUCUGCCAUCAUUCCAGCUGACUCUCACAGUGGUGAACUUUAAAACAGCUGUCAGAAUGGGAACCAGAACUAUUACCUGAUCAGUGAAAGCCAAGACAUUUUCCUUGUUCAACUAACCAAUGCUAAUCAUGUGAUGCUUGUGGUUGUUGAGAGUGCAUGUUCAUUCAGCACACAGUUGGUAAAGGACAAAAAAAAGAGCACAGAGCAUGGAAGGAAGGCUUGAGAGCUAAGACUUUCAUUAUUUCCAUGCAUGGAAACUGAAAAGAUGAGGGUCAUUGUGUAGAGAUCCAGGCACUUUAUUCCCAAGAUGAUGUGAAAUGGUGCAAAGUGUUGUGUAUGUCUUUUGCCUUCACUCUCUACUAGACCACUACUGCAUGGAUCUUCAGAUCUUCAAUUAGUACUGCUGUUCUAGUCAUCGGGAAAAAUCGAGACCACUUUUCUGUUGUACAACAUGUAUGUUACAUCCAAUUUUGAGGUGUAUUUUGACCUAUCUCUACCUCAGGAACUGUGAUGACACUGAGGAAAUAUUCUGCAGUCUUCAACAUGGUUACGCACAUAGCAAUUGCUGUACAGUGUAAUGCCAGCUUGUAUGUUUUUCUAAGAAAGUGACAAGGUGUGUCACGGUGGAAGCUGUGCAUCUGGACAGGAUGAGAGUGGUUGCAUUCCAAUGGCUGUAAGCAUGAAAUCACCUGGCCUUGUGUGAAAGAUGCGUAUGAACGGAUCAACCAGAUGUAUACCUCCAAUUUAAAGUGAGUAUUGUGUUACAUGUCGUAUAAUGACUUUAUGAAUUCAUUAUACUUAUUUAGAUAAGCAUAUUUUAUCAUCUUGUUUUUCGGUCAGUUAUAAGUCAUCGGUCAGUUAAUAGUCACACACAAAGAAUUUCGGAAUGCUACUUUAAAUAACUUCAGCGUUUGUUUACAUCUGGAAAAUGACAGGUUAAGAUAUCUCGUCCAGGUUAAUUACCCUCUGGCCACGUUAUUGGCUGCGUCAUGAUUGUUGUUUUGUUUCUAACUAAUUGUUAUGACAGAUGACUAAAUGAACUUACGCCCUGCCGGCGGAUCCUAGCACGGAUCUGUGGAAAUAUUAUCAAUUCUUACGCAGCUCGACUAUGAUUGCUGAGGACAAGAUUAUCAUUAAUAUUCAUGUUCCCCUAAUCGAUUUUAAUAGUCGCUUUGAUGUGUAUCGUAUUCAUAAUUUCGAACUUCCCUACAGUAACAUUAAUCGAUCAUCGAUACCACAGUCAUCUAAAGUACAUCUUGUCGCUAAGUACGAUUUAGAAUUUUCAGCUCUACUUUUUAAUCGAGAAUGCACAAAAUUCGCUGUCAUUCUGCCCAGUGAAUUAGAAUCUUGCAAAAGUAGCUUUACGCAAUUUUGUCAAGUCAGAUCCCCAUUUUAUCAAGCAAGCAUGUCUGAACUAUGCGUUACGGCUUUAUUUCUACGAAACCCAGCUAAAGUUACGCAAAACUGUAACAUUAUUAUAAAACCUAACACCAAGUUACCUUACGCCGAAAAUAUAGAUAACAGUCUCUGGGCAGUCACCACUUUAAUUGAUUUAAGAUUCGUCAUCGUGUGCCAAUCUGACACUAAAUCUAACCAUGAAUUAGUUGUUAAAGCCCCUCUCAGUUUAGUUCAACUUGAGAUGAACUGUCAGGCCUUUAAUGAACAUUUGAACUUAAGUCCCUGGUACUCUCAAAUUUCUAAGAAAACACAUCACCUUGAUUAUAACCCUCUA